UAUCUCUGUAGAGUCUGCAUAUCAAUAAGCGGAGGAAAAGAAACUAACAAGGAUUCCCUUAGUAACGGCGAGUGAAGCGGGAAGAGCUCAAAUUUGAAAUCCUCAAGGUUUUACCUUGACGAAUUGUAGUUUAAAGAAGUGUUUUCUGUUGAAGUUUCGGUAAAAGUUCUUUGGAAUAGGACAUCAUAGAGGGUGAGAAUCCCGUAUUUGACCGUUAUUUUCAGCUGUGUGAUACACUUUCAAAGAGUCGGAUUGUUUGGGAAUGCAGUCCAAAAUGGGUGGUAAAUUUCAUCUAAAGCUAAAUAUUGGCGAGAGACCGAUAGCGAACAAGUACCGUGAGGGAAAGAUGAAAAGAACUUUGAAAAGAGAGUUAAACAGUACGUGAAAUUGUCAAAAGGGAAGCGUUUGACACUAGUGUUGUUUUCUCGAAAAUCAAUUAAAAAUGGCUUGAUUUUGUGUUGUAUUGACCUUAAAAGCUUUCUGCACUUUUUUCAUGUCUUUUUUAAUGCACUUUUCGUUUAACAAGUCAACAUCAGUUUCUUUUGUUGUAAAAAGGUCAUUGGAAGGUGGCUUUCUUUUCGGAGAAAGUGUUUAUAGCCUUUAACUCCUGCAAUCGGAGAGACUGAGGUCUGCAGCGUAGAUCCUUCUUGGAUUAGAUUCAUUUGUGCUAAGUUAUAGCUUUUUAUAGACAACUUGUUGACUAUAUUUAGUCUUGUAGCUUACUCGCUUAUGCAAUUUUACCUACGCUUAGGAUGUUGAACGCGCACAGAGUCUC
rnacentral:rRNA from 1 species